rnacentral:lncRNA from 1 species
AGCAGAAAAUAAAGAGGACAGUGCCUGUCUUGCAAGAUGCAUGUUUUGGCUGAAGUAAAUGAAUGAAUAAAUAAAUGUAUAGCAUGUCAGUGUGCCUGCGGCACUCAGCAAACACCGGGAAGGCAGAGCACACCCAGCCCCAGCCCUGCCCUUGGGAGGCUCAGCCCAGCACUGACAGCCAUGCAUGUGAGGGCCCUGGGAGGACAAAAGAGGCUCCUGGGGUCAGGGAAUACCUGGAGGAGGAGAAGAGACCAUAAGCCGUCAUCUGCCACAUAACUUUGUGGAGUGGGUUGAAUUGUGCCUUCCCAAAAGAAAUAGUACCUGAGAGUGUGGCCUUAGUUGAAAAUAGUGUUUUUGCAGAUGUGAUCAAAUUAAGGUGAGGCCAUACUGGAUUAGGCUGGGUCCUAAUCCAAUAAAGAUCUGGUGUCCAGAUAAGAAGAGAAGAGACACAGAAACAGACACACAGAGGAAAGAGGCCAAGAGAAAAUGGAGGCAGAAAUCAGAGUGAUGCGUCUGCAAGUCAAAGAUUGCCAGGAGCCACCAGAAGCUGGGUGUGGCAAGGAGCAGACUGUCCCCUAGAGCCUCAGGAGGAAGCAUGGCCCCACUGCCACCUUGAUUUCCGACUUCUGGCUCCCAGACCUAGGAGAGAAUAAAUGUCUGCCGUUUUAAGUCAGCAGGUUUGAGGACACUGCAUCUCUGAGCCUUCUGCCUCCUCUAUGAAGCAGACAGGAGGACACCUACCUGGCCAUGUCGCUUGAGGAUUAAGAGGAAGAACAAACAGGAAAUGUACAACAGCGAGAAUAGGAGGAUAAAGCAGUAAGAAGGUCAACUAAGACCACCGAUGAAGCCGUUAAUACAUUACUACAAUCCUGAGAAAAUUCAGAUCAUUUAAGGUUCCAGUGCUGGGGCCCUCCUGUGUGCUGCUAUGGGGACUGAGGCUGCAAAGACCAUCAUGUCUGGACCCUGACCUCAAGGAGCUCACAGUCUAAAGAGGGAGAACUGAAGAUGCAAGCACAGAAUUGCCACCAGGGUACUGUUGUCACCUUUGGUGCUACAGGUAAAGUGGGAGAAGAGAUGACUGCUUCCAGAGGAGAGGGACUGGACUUCACAAGCACAUAUGAGUCCCAUGGCACAGCAUGUUGAAGAUUUUGUCUAGCGCAGGGCCUGGCUGUCAGCAGGAACUCAUUGGAUGUUGGACAGAUGGAUGGACAAGAGUGAGUGGACAAUAAGGGAUACAAGGUGGCUGGUUGGCUGCCUGACCAGUGGCCAGAGGGGUAGAUAGAUGAACACAUGGUGUGGUGAAUGAGAAGAUAAUGGAACGUGGCUAGACAAGUGGGUGGGUGAGUGCUGGGGUCUGAAUGGCUGUGUUCCCCACCACCACCAAAUUUAUGUGGAAAUCCUAAUCCUCAAUGUGAGGGUGUCAGGUGGUGGAGUCUUUGGGAGGUAAUUAGGUCCUGAGGGUGGAGGCUUCAUGAAUGGUAUUAGUACCCUUACUAAUUAGUACCCCAGAAGGCUCCCUCUCCCUCCUGCCCUGUGAGGACCUAGUGAGAAGGCACCAUCUGUGAACCAGGAAGCAGGCCCUCCCCCAACACCAAAUCUGCUGGUGCCUUGAUCUUGGACCUCCAGCCUCCAAAAGUGUGAAAAAUAAGUUUCUGUUAUUUAUAAGCCACCAUCUAUGGUAUUUUUUAUAAAAGCCCAAACAGAUUUCAACAAUGGGAAAACAAGUGGUUUAGUAAGUGGGCUCAUAAGUGGCUGCGUGGACAAACAGGUGUUAGGAUGAAUGGCAAAAUGAUGGUGGGUAGGUGGGCGAGUGGUUGGAUAGGUAGAUGGAUGGAUGAUGGGCAAGUGUGUGCAUCUGAGGAUGGACAGGUGAGUGGACACGGUUGGUGGAUGGGUAAUGAGGUGGGCGUGCACUGAAUGAGUAUGUGAG